rnacentral:rRNA from 1 species
GAUGAACGCUAGCGGCAGGCUUAAUACAUGCAAGUCGAGGGGCAGCAGGGGUGUAGCAAUACACUCGCUGGCGACCGGCAAACGGGUGCGGAACACGUACGCAACUUACCCAUAACUGGGGGAUAGCCCGGGGACACCCGGAUUAAUACCUCGUAACUUUUUGGAGUGGCAUCACUCGACAAUUAAAGCUCCGGCGGUUCUGGAUGGGCGUGCGGCUGAUUAGGUAGUUGGCGGGGUAACGGCCCACCAAGCCUGCGAUCAGUAACUGGUGUGAAGGCACGACCAGUCAAACGGGCACUGAGACACGGGCCCGACUCCUACGGGAUGCAGCAGUAAGGAAUAUUUGUCAAUGGACGCAAGUCUGAACCAGCCAUGCCGCGUGAAGGAUGAAGGUCCUCUGGAUUGUAAACUUCUUUUAUAUGGGACGAAACCCGGGUAUUCCUACCCGAUUGACGGUACCAUAGGAAUAAGCACCGGCUAGCUCCGUGCCAGCCGCCGCCGUAAAAC